rnacentral:tRNA from 1 species
GUGGCUGUAGCUCAGUUGGUAGAGCCCUGGAUUGUGAUUCCGGUUGUCGUGGGUUCGAGCCCCAUCAGCCACCCCA